rnacentral:rRNA from 1 species
GACGAACGCUGGCGGCGUGCUUAACACAUGCAAGUCGAACGGAAAGGCCCUGCUUUUGUGGGGUGCUCGAGUGGCGAACGGGUGAGUAACACGUGAGUAACCUGCCCUUGACUUUGGGAUAACUUCAGGGAACUGGGGCUAAUACCGGAUAGGAGCUCCUGCUGCAUGGUGGGGGUUGGAAAGUUUCGGCGGUUGGGGAUGGACUCGCGGCUUAUCAGCUUGUUGGUGGGGUAGUGGCUUACCAAGGCUUUGACGGGUAGCCGGCCUGAGAGGGUGACCGGCCACAUUGGGACUGAGAUACGGCCCAGACUCCUACGGGAGGCAGCAGUGGGGAAUAUUGCACAGUGGGCGGAAGCCUGAUGCAGCAACGCCGCGUGCGGGAUGACGGCCUUCGGGUUGUAAACCGCUUUCGCCUGUGACGAAGCGUGAGUGACGGUAAUGGGUAAAGAAGCACCGGCUAACUACGUG